rnacentral:hammerhead_ribozyme from 1 species
AUCCAAUUGACGAGUCCCAAACAGGACGACAUGCCCGUCCUAGAU